GGCCUCCUGGUUCUUACCACAGGCUGUGUUUUACACUUACUGUAUAGAAAGAGGAGGCAGAGCAAACCUGCCCUACGUGCACCCCAGCCCAGGCCACCGUGCCUGGUCUCUAUUGUAAAUGGGGAGACGUGU
rnacentral:snoRNA from 1 species